GUCGGAAUAGCUCAGUUGGUAGAGCAGAGGACUGAAAAUCCUCGUGUCACCA
rnacentral:tRNA from 1 species